AAGGUUCUAGCUUAAUUAAAGCAUUUGAGUUGCAUUCAGAGGAUGCAGGAUAAUGACCUGCGAAUCUUA
rnacentral:tRNA from 1 species